GACCUCAAAUCAGGCAAGAAUACCCGCUGAACUUAAGCAUAUCAAUAAGCGGAGGAAAAGAAACUAACAAGGAUUCCCCUAGUAACGGCGAGUGAAGAGGGUAAAGCUCAAAUUUUAAAUCUGCCUUGUUUCAAGGUCGAGUUGUAAUUUGAAGAAGCGUUUUCUUGGGCUCGCGGCCGGUAGAAGUUCUUUGGAACAGGACAUCAUAGAGGGUGACAAUCCCGUCUGCGACCGGUCGUGUGUUCAUCUACGAUACGCUUUCAAAGAGUCGAGUUGUUUGGGAUUGCAGCUCCAAAUGGGUGGUAAACAUCACUCUAAGGCUAAAUAUUGGCGAGAGACCGAUAGCGAACAAGUACCGUGAGGGAAAGAUGAAAAGAACUUUGAAAAGAGAGUUAAACAGUACGUGAAAUUGUUGAAAGGGAAACGAUUGAAG
rnacentral:rRNA from 1 species